AGAUAAUUUACAUCUAUAAAAAGUAAAUUUUAAAAUGUAUUUUCAAGGCAUAACACAUUAUCCGAUAUAUAGAUAUAAAUGAUACAAAGAAAAAUAUAGAGAUAUCAAAAUGGUUAUGAUGGUAAGGCAAAUUACUAUAUCCAUCCUGGCAGGCUUUCUUCCCCUUUAUUAUUUCUAUUGUUGUAUUUUGUUUUUGUCCGUCGACUUAAAAGGCAAAAUGUUUUGUUUUUUAACUUGUAAAGUUUAAAAAAAAAAAAAUAGACUAGUUCAGUUGAGUUUCCAAGCUGACUGCAUUCACGUGGAACUCGGUUUUUGGAUGGUUAUAAGUUUCCUAACACCCUAGAGGAGCUCAUGUGUUCUGACUGCUGGUAGAAUUUCUUUAUCUCCUUGGUAAGAAGCGUUAACAGAGUUUCUGUUCUAGUCUUACACAGCCGGAGUCAUCUCGAAUGUAUUCUGGGAGACGCACAACUUGCACCGAAAGCUGUCUUCAUUCACCUCUGAUCCUCCUCAGACCAGGCUGUGCCGGUCCUCCGGGAGGAAGGUUUGUUUGGUUAGCGUUGCGUUGUAAGUGCCUUCAAAUUAUCUGGAUAAACUCGCUCAGAUUGAAGACGUCGGAUCCAAGGUACAGGACACGCAGCUGCCUCUCAGCCUUGUCUGGUUGUGUUAUCCUCGGGAUCUUGGUAGAGUGCUGCUCUCGGAUGAGCUACAAAGCAUCUGCAGAUCUCUGUUCGAAUCUUCUGCCCUCCUUGAAGGUCUUCUCCAACGGCUUGGCGCAAGGGUCCGGGUUGGCCGUUCUGCUUCCUGCAACUGUCACUUCCCUCAUACUUGUGGGUGUUUUGUCUGCACGUAUGUUCGUGCACUGCGUACAUGCAAUGUUUAUGGAGGCCAGAAGAGGGCUUCAGACCCCAGGGCUCAGCUCUCGCCCUGUGUCUGUGAUGCCAUCACCAGAAGAGGUUUCUGUCUAACAAAACUCCACGAUGAGCCCUGUAGAACAGCCAUGCUACCGAGAAUAGACAAGAAUUGCCAAAACAGGAGGAAGGCAGCAGGCUCGCAAUCCCCAAUUUACAAGACCAUUGAUCCUAAUUGCACAAGCAAUUCUCAAACUGAUAUUCCAAGACAAAGAAGCAAAUUUGCUCACAAACGUUGAUUCUCCCAUCUCCUGCAGACUAAGUCCUGACUUCAACACCGUGCACCAGAAUGAUAACUCAGACACUAGCAAGAGACCUGCAUUAUUUUACAAAAAGGACAAUGGCAUCGGCUAGAGGAGGAACGAAAGGCACCAAAUGAAAGGAUCUUAUAACUAUUGGUAAAAAUAUCGUUGCCCAGUACUACUGUCCAUAGCCUACCUCCUUCAUUUGCAUCUAUUCCAAACACAAAAAUAAAGCAUGGGCUAACAAGAUGGCUUGGUGAGUAAAGGGGCUUGCCAAUCCCCAGGACUCUCGUGGUGAAGAAAAUAAACUAACUCCGUUCAGUUGGCCUCAGACCUGCAUGUGUACACUGGCACAUGCACAUGCACACAACAACCUUACUCAUACACAAAUAUGUAGGGAAAUAAAUUUAAUUUUAAAAUGAAAAUCUUAAAACAGAGAGAGAGAGAGAGAGAGAGAGAGAGAGAGAGAGAGAGAGAGAGAAACAGUAAAUAAUAAGGGAAAAUGGGUUCACUUAACAUUUUGGGCAGGGCCAAGGAAAGAAAAGACUUCAUUUCUUAUCACCAUGCCAUGACAGCUUAACAGUUUUAAAAAAAAAUAGUGAGGAAGGCCAGAUGAUAUAUGUACAGCUAGCUGUGAAACAGAUUAAUUUUUUCUGGGAAAAAAGCAACUUGGGUGUCUGGUUGUGUGCAUCAUCUCCACUUAUCAUUAUCAUCAACAACAACAUUAUCAUUAUCAUCUUCAUUAUCAUCAUCAUCAUUAGAAUCUAGGCCUGAGCAAAAAUGCCCCUUAUUUUUGAGACAGGGUUUCAUGUUUCCCACAUUGACCUCAAACUCGUUACACAGUCAAGAAUGUCGUGAGCUGGAUCCUCUGAUUCUGUCUUUGCCUGUUGAGUGCUGGGAUUACAAACAUGUCCCACUGUGCCUAGUUUGUGUGAUGAUCAAACACUGGGCCAUAUAUAGUCAAGACUUCUACCCAUGGAGCGAUAUAUCCAGUCCCCCUCCCCAGUUUCCCCAUUUUGAAAGGGAAAGGAGCCUUGGGAAUUUAUGGAAUGGAGUCUAUAAGAUCCAUAUGUGGAGAGAUGGCUCAGUGGUUAGGAGUUUGUACUGCUCUUGAAGAGGACCUGGGCUUGUUUUCCAGUAUCCACACAGCAGCUCAUAACCGUCUUUAACCCCAGUUCCAGAAGAUCUGAUAUCUUCCCCUAGCUUCCACGAGCAAACCUGGCAAAUUUGUGGUACACACACAUACAUGCAGUCAAACAUUCACAAAAAUAAAAAUCAGCUGUUUGAAAAGAACCACAUCUGUUCCAAACUUGGCAAAUUUCUUCGUCCCUCAGCCCAUUGCUUUGCUAUUUUUUUUCUGUUCGUAUUUUAGCAGAGCCUCACAAUGUAGCCUCGACUAUUUGUGAGCUUACUACACAGCCCAGGCCGCCCUCUAAGUCAAAGCAACCCUCCUCUGGGUUCCAGUGCGGGGAUGACAGACAUGAACCACCACACCCAAGUACAGUUCCUUUACUAGGUAUAGGGCCAAAGUGUUUUGAUCAACUUUAAGCUCUAACUCCUGCAUGCCUGUUAAUAACAGUUAAAAGAGGGGAUACAAAUGUCUGUGGAAUAUCUCCUCUGUCUGCCAGGGCUUCAGCUAUUUCUCCUCGCCCAGGAUCGAUGUUUCUGGAUGGUUUCACGUGUGAGGGGAUCGAUGUUUCUGGAUGGUUUCACGUGUGAGGGCUGGUUUCGUUGCGUUAGCUUGAGGCACUAUUUC